rfam:Schistosoma curassoni strain Dakar, Senegal genome assembly, scaffold: SCTD_scaffold0000674
ACACUGCUGAAGAGUCCCAGAAUGAGACGAAACGGCAGUCCAGUGC